AUAAAGGGAGCAUUUGAUUCCCUGGAUGGGCGAUAGCAGUCUCAUGGUUGACAGAUAUGAUGUUCGUGGAGCUCUCUAUGACCUCAAAGAAGCUGAAUCAGGGGGAGGAGGAGACCGAUGGGAAGGACUGACUGAAGAGGAGCGGGCAGAAGAAGAGAAAUGUGAUCAGGAAAGAUACCUUGCCCUAUAUCAUGACGAAUUCCAGUACCAAGAGUAUCAAGAUGAGGAAGCCAAACGGCUGAUCAGUGAACUGGA